UGCAAGUCGAACGGUAACAGGUCUAGCUUGCUAGAUGCUGACGAGUGGCGGACGGGUGAGUAACGCGUAGGAAUCUACCCUAAAGUGGGGGACAACCCGGGGGAAACUCGGGCUAAUACCGCAUAGUCCCUUCGGGGGUAAAGUCGGGGGACCUUCGGGCCUGGCGCUUUAGGAUGAGCCUGCGUUAGAUUAGCUUGUUGGUGGGGUAAAGGCCUACCAAGGCGACGAUCUAUAGCUGGUCUGAGAGGAUGAUCAGCCACACUGGGGACUGAGACACGGCCCCAGACUCC
rnacentral:rRNA from 1 species